AUUGAACGCUGGCGGCAUGCCUAACACAUGCAAGUCGAACGAGUGGCGGACGGGUGAGUAAUGUCUGGGAAACUGCCUGAUGGAGGGGGAUAACUACUGGAAACGUUAGCUAAUACCGCAUACCAUCGGAUCUGCCCAGAUGGGAUUAGCUAGUAGGUGGGGUAACGGCUCACCUAGGCGACGAUCCCUAGCUGGCCUGAGAGGAUGACCGGCCAAACUGGAACUGAGACACGGUCCAGACGCCUACGGGAGGGAGCAGUGGGGAAUAUUGCGCAAUGGGCGCAAGCCUGAUGCAGCCAUGCCGCGUGUAUGAAGAAGGCCUUCGGGUUGUAAAGUACUUUCAGCGGGGAGGCGUUACCCGCAGAAGAAGCACCGGCUAACUCCGUGCCAGCAGCCGCGGUAAUUC
rnacentral:rRNA from 1 species